rnacentral:rRNA from 1 species
CUUGGUUGAUCCUGCCAGUAGUCAUAUGCUUGUCUCAAAGAUUAAGCCAUGCAUGUGUAAACAUGAAUUAAUACAAACUGUGAAACUAUGAAUGGCUCAUUAAAUCAAUUAUAGUUUGUUUGAUGGUAUCAGCUACUCGGAUAACCGUAGCAAUUCUAGAGCUAAUAUGUGCAACAAACCCUAACUUUUGGAAGGGAUGCAUUUAUUAGAUAAAAGGUCAAUGCAAGCUUUACCCAUUACUUUGAUGAUUCAUGGUAACUCAAUGGAUCGCAUAGCCUUUAUGCCGAUGAUGCACCAUUCAAAUUUUUGCCCUAUCAACUUUUAAUGGUAGGAUAGUGGGCUAUUAUGGUGGUGACGGGUGACAAAGAAUUAGGGUUUGAUUCUAUAGUGGGAGCUUGAGAAACUGCUGCAAAUCUAAGGAAGGCAGCAAGUGUGCAAAUUACCUAAUCCUAACACGAUGUGGUAGUGGCAAUAAAUAACAAAACUCGACUCUAUGAGUCUGGUAUUUAGAAUGAAUACAAUCUAAAUCCCAUAACGAGGAUCCAUUAGAAGGCAAGUCUAGUGCCAACAGUUGUAGUAAUUCUAGCUUCAAUAGGUUAUAUUUAAGUUGUUGUAGUUAAAAAGCUUGUAGUUGAAACUAGGGUUAGGUCAUCCAGUUUGCCUUAUGAUGAGCAUUGAUCUACUCAUCCCUACUAUUAGUGAUGCACUCUUGGCUUUGACUGGUUAGGUCAUUCCUUUGGCAUUGUUACUUUGAAGAAAUUAGAGUGCUCAAAGUAGGCCUAUGCUUGUAUAUGUUAGCAUGGGAUAACAUCAUAGGAUUUUGGUCCUAUUGUGUUGGCCUUUGGGAUCGGAGUAACGAUUAAUAGGGACAGUUAGGGGCAUUUAUAUUUCAUACUCAGAGGUGAAAUUCUUAGAUCUAUGAAAGAUGAAUAGCUGUGAAAGCAUUUGCCAAGGAUGUUUUCAUUAAUAAAGAGUGAAAGUUAGGGGCUCGAAAAGGAUCAGAUACCAUCAUAGUAUUAACCAUAAACGAUGUAGACCAGGGAUCAAUGGAUGUCAAUUUUAGGCUCCACUGGCACCCUAUGAGAAAUCAAAGUCUUUAGGUUUAGGGGGGUAUGGUCAUAAGGUUGAAACUUAAAGGAAUAGAUGGAAUGGGACCACCAGGAGUAGAGCCUAUAGCUUAAUUUGACUCAACAUAGGGAAACUUACCAGGUCUAGACAUAGUAAGGAUUGACAGAUUGAGAGCUCUUUUUUGAUUCUAUGGGUUGUGGUGCAUGGCCAUUCCUAGUUGGUGGAGUGAUUUGUUUGGUUAAUUCCAUUAACGAAUGAGACUUAGCCUGCUAACUAGCUAUACUGAGGUGAUCCUUCAUGGCCAGAUUCUUAGAGGAACUAUGACCACUUAGGCUAAAGAAGUUUAAGGCAAUAAUAGGUUUGUGAUGCCCUUAGAUGGUCUAGGCUGCAAGCGUGCUACACUGAUGUAUUCAAUGAGUUCAUAACCUUGGUUGAUGGCCCAGGUAAUCAUUGAAAUUUCAUCAUGGUGGGGAUAGAUCAUUGCAAUUGUUGAUCUUCAAUGAGGAAUUCCUAGUAAGCGCAAGUCCUUAGCUCGUGUUGACUAGAUCUUUACAUUUCGUACACAUCGCCCAUCACUUUUACUAAUUGAAUGGUCUAGUGAAGUGUUAAGAUCAUGCCAGUGUGGCUUGCUCACUACCCAUGACAUUGUGAAAAGUCCACUAAACCUUAACAUUUAGAGGAAGGAAAAAUCGUAACAAGAUUUUUAUAGGUGAACAUGUGGAAG